rnacentral:rRNA from 1 species
AGAAUCAACGCUGGCGGCGUGCCUAACACAUGCAAGUCGCACGAGAAAGUGGAGCAAUCCACGAGUAAAGUGGCGCACGGGUGAGUAACACGUGAAUAAUCUACCUCCGAGUGGGGAAUAACUGAGAGAAAUCUUAGCUAAUACCGCAUAAUACCCACGGGUCAAAGCAGCAAUGCGCUUGGAGAGGAGUUCGCGGCCGAUUAGCUAGUUGGCGGGUAAUGGCCCACCAAGGCGAUGAUCGGUAU